rnacentral:rRNA from 1 species
UACGUAGGGGGCAAGCGUUGUCCGGAAUCAUUGGGCGUAAAGCGCGUGUAGGCGGCCCGAUAAGUCCGCUGUGAAAGUCCAGGGCUCAACCCUGGAAUGCCGGUGGAUACUGUCGGGCUCGAGUCCGGAAGAGGCGAGUGGAAUUCCUGGUGUAGCGGUGAAAUGCGCAGAUAUCAGGAGGAACACCAAUGGCGAAGGCAGCUCUCUGGGACGGUACUGACGCUGAGACGCGAAAGCGUGGGGAGCGAACAGG